UGCAAGUCGAGCGCUCACUUCGGUGGGAGCGGCGGACGGGUUAGUAACGCGUGGGAAUAUGCCCGGUACUAAGGAAUAGCCUUUGGAAACGAAGAGUAAUACCUUAUACGCCCUUCGGGGGAAAGAUUUAUCGGUAUCGGAUUAGCCCGCGUAAGAUUAGAUAGUUGGUGGGGUAAUGGCCUACCAAGUCUACGAUCUUUAGCUGGUUUUAGAGGAUGAUCAGCAACACUGGGACUGAGACACGGCCCAGACUCCUACGGGAGGCAGCAGUGGGGAAUCUUAGACAAUGGGCGCAAGCCUGAUCUAGCCAUGCCGCGUGAGUGAAGAAGGCCUUAGGGUCGUAAAACUCUUUCGCCAGAGAUGAUAAUGACAGUAUCUGGUAAAGAAACCCCGGCUAACUCCGUGCCAGCAGCCGCGGUAAUACGGAGGGGGUUAGCGUUGUUCGGAAUUACUGGGCGUAAAGCGCACGUAGGCGGACUGGAAAGUUGGGGGUGAAAUCCCGGGGCUCAACCUCGGAACUGCCUCCAAAACUAUCAGUCUAGAGUUCGAGAGAGGUGAGUGGAAUUCCAAGUGUAGAGGUGAAAUUCGUAGAUAUUUGGAGGAACACCAGUGGCGAAGGCGGCUCACUGGCUCGAUACUGACGCUGAGGUGCGAAAGUGUGGGGAGCAAACAGGAUUAGAUACCCUGGUAGUCCACACCGUAAACGAUGAAUGCCAGACGUCAGCAAGCAUGCUUGUUGGUGUCACACCUAACGGAUUAAGCAUUCCGCCUGGGGAGUACGGUCGCAAGAUUAAAACUCAAAGGAAUUGACGGGGGCCCGCACAAGCGGUGGAGCAUGUGGUUUAAUUCGAAGC
rnacentral:rRNA from 1 species